GAUGAAGAACGCAGCGAAAUGCGAUAAGUAGUGUGAAAUGCAGAAUUCAGUGAAUCAUCGAAUCUUUGAACGCACAUUGCGCCCCUUGGUAUUCCAUGGGGCAUGCCUGUUCGAGCGUCAUUUGUACCUUCAAGCUCUGCUUGGUGUUGGGUGUUUGUCUCGCCUCUGCGUGUAGACUCGCCUUAAAACAAUUGGCAGCCGGCGUAUUGAUUUCGGAGCGCAGUACAUCUCGCGCUUUGCACUCAUAACGACGACGUCCAAAAGUACAUUUUUACACUCUUGACCUCGGAUCAGGUAGGGAUACCCGCUGAACUUAAGCAUAUCAAUAAGCGGAGGA
rnacentral:misc_RNA from 1 species